rnacentral:rRNA from 1 species
UUCCGGUUGAUCCUGCCGGACCUGACUGCUAUCGGAUUGAUACUAAGCCAUGCGAGUCUUUGUAGCAAUACAAGGCAGACGGCUCAGUAACACGUAGUCAAUCUACCCUAUGGACGGGGAUAACCUCGGGAAACUGAGAAUAAUACCCGAUAGAUCAUUAUACCUGGAAUGGUUUAUGGUUCAAAUGAUUUUUCGCCGUAGGAUGGGACUGCGGUCUAUCAGCUUGUUGGUGAGGUAAUGGCCCACCAAGGCUAUUACAGAUACGGGCUCUGAGAGGAGAAGCCCGGAGAUGGGUACUGAGACACGGACCCAGGCCCUAUGGGGCGCAGCAGGCGAGAAAACUUUGCAAUGUGCGAAAGCACGACAAGGUUAAUCCGAGUGAUUCCUGCUAAAGGAAUCUUUUGUUAGUCAUAAUACCACUAUUGAAUAAGGGGUGGGCAAGUUCUGGUGUCAGCCGCCGCGGUAAAACCAGCACCUCAAGUGGUCAGGAUGAUUAUUGGGCCUAAAGCAUCCGUAGCCGGCUUUGUAAGUUUUCGGUUAAAUCUAUAUGCUCAACAUAUAGGCUGCCGGGAAUACUGCAAAGCUAGGGAGUGGGAGAGGUGGACGGUACUCCGUAGGAAGGGGUAAAAUCCUUUGAUCUAUGGAUGACCACCUGUGGCGAAGGCGGUCUACCAGAACACGUUCGACGGUGAGGGAUGAAAGCUGGGGGAGCAAACCGGAUUAGAUACCCGGGUAGUCCCAGCUGUAAACUAUGCAAACUCAGUGAUGCAUUGGCUUGUGGCCAGUGCAGUGCCGCAGGGAAGCCGUUAAGUUUGCCGCCUGGGAAGUACGUACGCAAGUAUGAAACUUAAAGGAAUUGGCGGGGGAGCACCACAAGGGGUGAAGCCUGCGGUUCAAUUG